GCCAGUGCCGUCAGUUCCGAGACGGUCCACCGCGCGUUGAACUCUGCUGGUGGAAGAGAGUUUGCGGUGCCAAUGUACGUGUGACCUCUGCGAUGAUGGAUUUAGCAAAGGGACCAGGAACGAUGACAGUUGGCGGGGUGUCUGGCGAGGGGCCACAAAGGGAUGAAGUUCGGAGUAAGGGCCGGAGGAAUCUUGCACUGAUGGCAGUGGUCCCCCUGGAGUGGCAGUGGGGGGCUCACCAUGUGCAGGAACCCUGGAGUCCGGCCGAGGUACCCCUGCGUACCCCUUGGCGAGUUCUUUGUUGGUAAACUUCAUCUUGGCGGGCAUCGACAAUUCUUGGACCGCCAAAGUCCUGAC